rnacentral:rRNA from 1 species
UACAGAGGGGGCAAGCGUUGUUCGGAAUUACUGGGCGUAAAGGGCGCGUAGGCGGCCUUCUAAGUCGAACGUGAAAUCCCCGGGCUCAACCCGGGAACUGCGUCCGAUACUGGAAGGCUUGAAUCCGGGAGAGGGAUGUGGAAUUCCAGGUGUAGCGGUGAAAUGCGUAGAUAUCUGGAGGAACACCGGUGGCGAAGGCGACAUCCUGGACCGGUAUUGACGCUGAGGCGCGAAAGCCAGGGGAGCGAACGGG